rnacentral:tRNA from 1 species
GGUGGCUCAGUGGUAGAGUGCUUGCCUUGCAUGCAACAAGGCCCUGGGUUCAAUUCCUCAGCACCA